rnacentral:rRNA from 1 species
CGUGAACAUCAACUUUUGACGCAACUUGCGCUUUGGGGAAACCCGGAGCAUGCNUNNNNGAGNGUCGUUACAACCAACCUCGGCUGCGACCUUUGUAAAAGGGUUGCUGAGUCCGGAUAGUGAGAGUUAGUCUGACUUUUUAAAGGUCGGGUUAUCUCUUCAAGUGCGCGUAGCCUUCGAGUGUGAAGCUCUAGCUUGUCACUUAUCUGGCUGAUGCUUGAUAAUUGGUACUUUAUGUGCCAUUCUCUGCAUCUUGGCUUGGGGUGUUCAAGAAUUUAGCUAUAACAUAAUAAGCUACAUAUAAAAAGGAAUUUUAAUUCAUUUUUAUACGCGAUCUCAGAUGAAGCAAGAUUACCCGCCGAAUUUAAGCAUAUAAUUAAGCGGAGGAAAAGAAACUAACAAGGAUUCCC